GAUGAACGCUGGCGGCGUGCCUAAUACAUGCAAGUCGAGCGAACGGACGAGAAGCUUGCUUCUCUGAUGUUAGCGGCGGACGGGUGAGUAACACGUGGAUAACCUACCUAUAAGACUGGGAUAACUUCGGGAAACCGGAGCUAAUACCGGAUAAUAUUUUGAACCGCAUGGUUCAAAAGUGAAAGACGGUCUUGCUGUCACUUAUAGAUGGAUCCGCGCUGCAUUAGCUAGUUGGUAAGGUAACGGCUUACCAAGGCAACGAUGCAUAGCCGACCUGAGAGGGUGAGCGGCAACAAGAGAAAUGAGACAGGGUCAGGACACCGAAGGGAGAAGGAAGGAGGGAAUGUUCCGAAAGGGGAGAAGACCUGAAGAAGAAACGACGAGGGAGUAAUAAAGGUAUUCGGAACUUAAAACUUUGUGAUGAGGAAAAAAAAAAGGGGAAAGAAAAUGUGCAAAUCUGAAGGGAACAUAAUCAGAAAACCACGAAAAACAACGUG
rnacentral:rRNA from 1 species